rnacentral:rRNA from 1 species
UAGUCCACGCCGUAAACGAUGCUCACUCGCUGCUUGCGAUACAUUGUAAGUGGCCAAGCGAAAGUCUUAAGUGAGCCACCUGGGGAGUACGAUCGCAAGGUUGAAACUCAAAGGAAUUGACGGGGGCCCGCACAAGCGGAGGAACAUGUGGUUUAAUUCGAUGAUACGCGAGGAACCUUACCUGGGCUUAAAUGUAGAUUGCAUGUUGUGGAAACACACUUCCCUUCGGGGCUAUUUACAAGGUGCUGCAUGGUUGUCGUCAGCUCGUGCCGUGAGGUGUCGGGUUAAGUCCCAUAACGAGCGCAACCCUUAUCGCUAGUUGCCAGCGGGUAAUGCCGGGGACUCUAGCGGGACUGCCACCGUAAGGUGAGAGGAAGGUGGGGAUGACGUCAAAUCAGCACGGCCCUUAUGUCCAGGGCUACACACGUGUUACAAUGGCCGAUACAAAGGGCAGCUACCAGGUGACUGGAUGCUAAUCUCUAAAGUCGGUCUCAGUUCGGAUCG